rnacentral:rRNA from 1 species
GAUGAACGUUGGCGGCGUGCCUAAUACAUGCAAGUCGAACGAAGACUGUAGUAAUACUGUCUUAGUGGCGAACGGGUGAGUAACGCGUGGGUGACCUGCCCCGAAGUGUGGGAUAACAGUCCGAAAGGAUUGCUAAUACUGCAUAAUAUCCAAGAGAUUAGAUGCUUUUGGAUUAAAGGAGUAAUUCGCUUCGGGAGGGGCCCGCGUCCCAUCAGCUAGUUGGUAAGGUAAUGGCUUACCAAGGCGAUGACGGGUAGGGGACCUGAGAGGGUGGCCCCCCACAAUGGAACUGAAACACGGUCCAUACACCUACGGGUGGCAGCAGUAGGGAAUAUUAGUAAUGGGCGAAAGCCUGAACUAGCAACGCCGCGUGUGCGAAGAAGGCCUUCGGGUCGUAAAGCACUUUUUGAGGGGAUGAGGAAGGACGGUACUCUCAGAAUAAGUCUCGGCUAACUACGUG